AUUGAACGCUGGCGGCAUGCCUUACACAUGCAAGUCGAACGGCAGCGCGGGGCAACCUGGCGGCGAGUGGCGAACGGGUGAGUAACAUAUCGGAACAUACCCUAGAGUGGGGAUAACGUAGCGAAAGUUACGCUAAUACCGCAUACGCACUAAGGUGGAAAGUGGGGGAUCUUCGGACCUCAUGCUCAUGGAGUGGCCGAUAUCUGAUUAGCUAGUUGGUGAGGUAAAGGCUCACCAAGGCGACGAUCAGUAGCUGGUUUGAGAGAACGACCAGCCACACUGGAACUGUAGACACGGUCCAGACUCCUACGGAGGCAGCAGUGGGGAAUUUUGGACAAUGGGGGCAACCCUGAUCCAGCAAUGCCGCGUGAGUGAAGAAGGCCUC
rnacentral:rRNA from 1 species